UACGUAGGUGGCAAGCGUUGUCCGGAUUUACUGGGCGUAAAGAGCGCGCAGGCGGUCGGAUAAGUCGAAUGUGAAAGCCCCCGGCUCAACUGGGGAGGGUCAUUCGAUACUGUUCGACUCGAAGGCAGGAGAGGGAAGUGGAAUUCCCGGUGUAGUGGUGAAAUGCGUAGAGAUCGGGAGGAACACCCGUGGCGAAGGCGGCUCACUGGGCCGGUCCUGACGCUGAGAAGCGAAAGCGUGGGGAGCGAACAGG
rnacentral:rRNA from 1 species